CGGGUCAGAUUGAGAGUAGCAUUUCUUACACGGGGCGCAUUGGAUCCAAACGACGUCGCUUCCAGUAUCCAGCACCAUGUAAACAUACCUGGGAGGUGUACCCACGCCUAUGCGCGUGAAGUACUCGCCGCUACCCUGCGCUAGGCCAGAUAUGACGGAGCUGCUAAACCCACCUGUGACGCUCCCACCGGCUGCUGCUGCUGCUGAGGCAGCAAGGGAGGACAGAGCUUUGACUCGCGAAGCAUCACGGUUAAGCCUCAGGCUGAAGAGUUCCUGAGGGGUUUUGUUUAAGGAUAAUGCGUCUAUGUGAUGUAACUGUAUGGAUAAGGUGGACUCUGUUUCGGUGGCGACGGAUGCAGGGAGAGUUUCUGAGUCGGAAUCGGGAUCGACAUCGGAGGUUGGCCAUGAGAUAGUGGGCUGGCUAGGGAGAGGGUUCAGAACCAGGAUCUGGUAGUGGAGUGGGGUUGAGGAAGUGGUGGAGAGUGAAAGGAAAAUGGCGAAGGAAAAGAGGAGAAGGGCAUUUUUCGCUUUUCCUUCCAUGGACAAAGAAAGUAAUGUG
rnacentral:misc_RNA from 1 species